rnacentral:misc_RNA from 1 species
UCAUCUGGGAUUGGACGACAGGUAACCUCAAAGGCUACUAAGAGGCUGUGGGUUUAUUUUUGGGUUCGUAUUAAAAUUUUACAAAAUCUCGGUGCAUUCAAAGUUUACAAAUAGAAUCCAAAAUGGCUUUACGAUUGUCUCGCUUGAUCCAGACCCCCAUGCUGACUAGAGGUUAUCCGCUCGUCGUCGCCAAGGAAAAAUCCGAGGAGAAGGCUCACACCAAGAGUGCUUUGCAGAAGAAGACGACGGAAGAAACAAUAUGGACGAAAAUUCCUCGUGCUCAAUAUGGUGGCCGUAAUGCCGUCACAAUGCUCCCAGGUGGAGGAAUCGGCCCCGAGCUUAUGAAGUACGUUCGCGAUGUAUUCCAUUUCGCCGGAGUACCAAUCGAUUUUGAAGUUAUUGAUAUCGAUCCAAGUACGGAGGGAAAUGAUGACUUAGACUACGCCAUCACGUCCAUUAAACGUAAUGGUGUUGCCAUUAAAGGCAAUAUCGAAACAAAGUCCGAGGAACUAGGAGCCGUUUCGCGAAAUGUGGCGUUACGAAAUGAACUCGAUUUAUAUGUUAAUGUGCUCCACUGUAAAUCAUAUCCGGGAAUCGCUACACGACAUCCCAAUAUCGAUGUUAUUAUCGUACGGCAAAAUACAGAAGGCGAAUAUGCUAUGCUGGAGCAUGAGAGUGUUCCUGGUGUGGUGGAAAGUAUGAAAGUCGUUACUGAUGAGAAUGCCGAACGUGUCGCUCGUUUUGCUUUCGAAUAUGCGAAAAAUAACGGUCGUAAGAAGGUAACGACCAUUCAUAAGGCGAAUAUUAUGAAACUGUCGGACGGUUUGUUUUUGGAAGUGUCGAAACGAGUUGCCAAAGACUAUCCGAAUUUGGAACAUAACAAUAUGAUUAUCGAUAAUUGCUGCAUGCAGCUUGUUUCGAAUCCGUAUCAGUUCGAUGUUAUGAACAUGACAAAUUUAUAUGGUACAAUUGUUUCGAAUGUACUGUGUGGCCUUUCCGGCGGAGCUGGUCUGUACUCAGGACGCAAUUAUGGAGACCAUUAUGCAAUUUUCGAACCAGGAACCCGAAACACAGGUACAGCCAUUGCUGGCAAAAAUAUUGCUAAUCCAAUUGCUAUGUUGAACUCCGCUGUGGAUAUGUUGGUUCACUUGGGACACAAUGACCACGCUCAAGUAAUUUCAGAGGCGAUCUACCAGACAAUUAGUGAAGACAAUUUACGCACACCAGAUAUUGGCGGCACAGCAAGCAGCACGGAUGUCAUUGAAAACAUUAUGAAAGUUCUAUCCAAAAAGAGGGUUCAUUGAUCUCGUAGUUACACUCCUUUUCCUGAAGUAAUUAUUUUGUGUUAUAUUAUGAUUAUUGUUCUUGGCGCAAAUGAUGUUCUUUGGCAUCUUGAUUUUACAUCCAACGAUGCGACAAUCGUUAUUACUCUGGAUGUCCUAAUUCGAUAAGAUGAAAAGUAAUAUUAAAAAGUCUCAUUUUUGUUUUAUUUAUUGUUAAUCUAUAAAGUCCCGAAUAAUUUUAUGGUCCUACUAUUAAUUUGAUAAUAAUAAAAAAUGUAAUUAUUGGAAA